UCACGGGAAACUGUCCGGACAACACUUUCCUUACAACUGUGGGCCCGUAAGUGCUAAAUACGUUGGGCUCCGAUUUGCCGGUUUUGUGGGUGCCCCAUCUCACUGAACCGUGUUUUUCUUUUUUUCCAGUGUCACCUUCUGGUUCCUAGAAAUAACGACGUUUUAAGUCGCAAAUAGGCAAGGGUUCAUCCGUUUUCAAAACGUGGGAGCUGGGGCAAAUCAGAGUGACCAGGCUUCUUGGCAAGAAAGUUCUUCUCCUAUGCUUGUGAAGAGACCUCGAAAGUCCUACAGAGUAGACGCAGCAGAUCCCCACUGAGGAGCUUCUACUGGACGGGAAGAGAGUCUGAGAGGUGGUUUCACAAUUUUACACAAUUUUACGCAACGGAAUGGCCAGGACAACGUUGCCUUAAUGCCUUGUGCCGUCGUCCUUGACCUUCAGACGCAGCAGAUCCCCACUGAGGAGCUUCUACUGGACGGGAAGAGAGUCUGAGAGGUCCCGAGGUCAGUGGAGAACCUGUGACAUGUCCGUGCACAGGCCCCGAUACCCUUCCAUCAGGCCACGGAGCCCAAGCUUCCUCAGGACCCCCAGCGCCUUGGCGGGACGGACACGCGGUGGACUUCACGGAGCCACUGAGGACCGUGUGGUGGCCGUGGGGAGGUUCCCCCUCAGCUCCAGGCCUGUGGCUAAGCUUGCUGCUGCUGCUCUGAGCUUGAAUUUCUUUCUGAGCAUCUCAGGUGUCUCUUAUGUCUCUGUUCACCCCGUACCACACCGUGUUGCACAUCUGUGAGCACAGGGACCGGGCAGGGACUGACCUUGCACUUCAGUCUGGCACAGGGAUACGCAGUCUGAAUCUCCUGGUUGCUGUGGGCUGGUGGGUAGAGGAGGGAAAUGGUGUUUUGAUGUCACACGAGGCAAUUCUUGUCUCCCUUUCCCAAGCCCUCAGCUUGUGCAUGCACACACACACACACGUGCACACACACACAGAUAAGCCCACACGAGUCUGUGCCCUGAACCACUCUCUGCACAUCCUUCAUCUGGAGCCCUGGGCAGCCUGGGGAGGCCCCUCUUCCAGGCCCCUGCAGGGCCACCCUUCCCCGGGGAAGGCCAGGCAGCCCCAUGAGCUAGCGAGGGCCAGUGGGGCCGGGCCCAGGUCUGGGGCCUUGAAGGCCACUGACCCGGGGACGACGGGGCGUCGAAUAUGCCAGGGUCCGGGUGCCUGCAGACCGGUGAGGUAGCAUGGUUGUCCUCCCGCAUUAGAGUGUCCCUGGGGACACGGCUUGAACGGUCCUCUCCGCAGAGGGUGGAACCAGACCGCGUGGGUGGUUUGAUGGCCACACGCUCAAAUUAUUUUUUAUGUCGGCGAUCGUCACGCACGUGGAUCGAUGCCAGGUUCGAGCGCAGUGGAGACGCUCAGGUGCACAGAGGGUGCGCAUCUUGAGUGAGGUCACCCACCGGCAGGCUGGUGUGUGGUCUGAACACAGGCAGUCUGCGUUUGGAGCCUGCCUUCCGACCGACGUGUCCCAGACAGUCCUGCACAUUGCUGGCGGUGAGAUGAGGCGGGAGUCGUUCACGUGGGCGAGCGGCCCGGAGCUGGAGAGGGAGGUUAGUGGAGGGGUGGGGUGGGAGGUGCAGCGUCACGGAGCAGGGAGCGUGCUGGCGCGGAGGCCAGAGGAAGGAGGCUCUGGGACGCCCGUCGCAUUGCUGGUUUGGGCACCUGCGUGCACCUUGGAGGCACCUCCGGAAUGGAACAGCCUGCCGACCCAGCACUCUGCUGAAAGGCCUUAUUUGGAUGGGCCAGAGGAUGGGGGGCCUCACGUGACGUCACAUCCUCAGUGAGGAAGUGAACGUUCUCCAGGGGCGCCGACCCCACGGCCUGUGAUGGGCUUGCUCGUGUGUUGCGUGUGCUUUUGCUGCGCAACCUGUGCUCCCGGAGCCCUCGGUCUAACCCUCUCCCGCUGAGUAUUCACUAUUUUGUUGGACGUCCUUCUCCCUCCCAGACUAUGUUUCCUGAGGAUGCAUCUGUGCCCGACUUUCUCAUCUUUGUCCUCAGCACACACGGGCUGCCUGACGGGCUCGCUCAUUUAGUGGCGGGUGAGCCUGAGAAAUGUUUCCAGACCUGACGUUAGGCGAAAGGCUGGAAGCGGGCCUGGCAUUUGUGGGUCACGGAAACCAGAUCUGGGCGAGGACACCGGCACCGUUUAUAAUCACCCCCGGCGCUGGAGCGUCAAGAAUCCACAUUGCAGCAAGUACGGAACGAACCAUUUUGGAGGAAUGUUGAGCAGGUAAUAAAAAUGAGUUAUAGACCUGAUCGCCCACCCUUCAACUUUCGCACCACGAAGAGCCUCGCAAUUUUGUUUCAAAACAGUCAAGGGCUUCUUUGUGAUACUUUCCUGCAGGUUUAAUUGCAGUGAUAUUUCAGUGCCAAGGAGAGUAAUUUGCAGCAUGAAAAUGGCAUUUGAUUUGCAAUCCCUUACGUUUUAAAACCUCUGCAUAAAAGUGAGCAUUUGGUAGGGGUACUGGUGGAAUUGUCAUUUCCUGCUUAACUUCCAAAGAAACUGAAGUCGAGUGUCUAUGUUAACGUUUAUAAAAUUUUAAGAGUGACUCCCGUGUUGCGUACUUAGCCUCAGUGCUCUGCUGUGUGUGUGUCUGCUGGUCUCCGUCCCCCAGAGCGGGUCCCGCGCACCUGCGCCCCACGCCCCCAACACAGACAAAGGCACUCAGGGCAUACAGAACUUGCGAUUGAAGACCGUUCAUUUUAGUAGAAAAAGUAUUUUUUGUUAAUACCAAAAGUCCCAGGCACACUCUGAAUACUGUAAAGGUGAUGGUAUUCGGCAGUUAGAGAAAACGAUCUUCGUGCAAAUGGCUGGUCUGGAGGGCUGGGAAGCCUCAUGUGAGAAAACGCAUCCCCGUUCCUUCUCACACGUCUCUGUCCAGCGAGCAGGUGGUUUUACACUUGGCUCUGUGGGGCAGCUGGGCCUGGGUCGUGCUGUGCGUCCCUGGGGCACCGAGGACCUUUAUUAAGGCCCCGAAGACCAUGCAAGGAGGAGCCUAAUUGAAGAGUUGAGUCUCCCAUCCGAUUCUAGCCCUGGGGGGCCUCCGGCUCUGCAGACAGCAAGAGACCCCAGACCCCAAAACCCCAGAGAGAGGAGGGAGCUGGUCCGCAAGGACAGCGACAUAGCAGCUUCGGAGCGGCAGAACCCCCGAGUGUGGACGCCGACGCCCAGAUAGGACCUGGAGUCUAGACGGUGCCUUGGGGAUGCCCAGAGGAGGGACACCGGUAGAGGUGGAAAGGCCAUCUCCCCAGGCAGAGGCUGAUUCCAGGACAUGGUUCUCGUCCCGAGCAGAACCUCUGAUGCAGGAAAGUGAGGCAGGUUCCAAGGAUGGUGACCAGCCCCUGGUGGCUCACCCAUCUGGAGCAUCGGACUCGGGUACUUAGAAGAGCACUGACUGGUCAACAUCAGAAAUCUUGAGACAAGCCUUACCAGGAACUUUUUGAACAAUAACACCAAAAAUAAAACAGAGAUGGACGGGACGAGGGCAAACGUCUGGUGAUGCAC